ACGGAUUUUCAUAUGCAGAUUUUCAGCUUCAUGCUAAUCAGUUUCACAGUCAUAUUGUCCAGUGGAGAAAUUGUGCUCACCCAGUCUCCAGCACUCAUGGCUGCAUCUCCAGGGGAGAAGGUCACCAUCACCUGCAGUGUCAGCUCAAGUAUAAGUUCCAGCUACUUGCACUGGUACCAGCAGAAGUCAGGAAUCUCCCCCAAACCCUGGAUUUAUGGCACAUCCAACCUGGCUUCUGGAGUCCCUGCUCGCUUCAGUGGCAGU